rnacentral:rRNA from 1 species
AGCUCCAAUAGCGUAUAUUUAAGUUGUUGCAGUUAAAAAGCUCGUAGUUGGAUUUCGGAUGGGUUAGUCCGGUCUGCCGUUCGGUAUGUACUGGUCGUACCCAUCUUGCUGUCGGGGACGCUUUCUGGCCUUCAUUGGCUGGGACGCGGAGUCGGCGAUGUUACUUUGAAAAAAUUAGAGUGUUCAAAGCAGGCCUAAGCUCUGAAUACAUUAGCAUGGAAUAACGCUAUAGGACUCUGGUCUUAUUGCGUUGGUCUUCGAGACCGGAGUAAUGAUUAAGAGGGACAGUUGGGGGCAUUCGUAUUUCAUUGUCAGAGGUGAAAUUCUUGGAUUUAUGAAAGACGAACUUCUGCGAAAGCAUUUGCCAAGGAUGUUUUCAUUAAUCAAGAACGAAAGUACG